AGGAAGGGCAGCAAAUCCUAGGCAGGGGAGCUAGGUGCUGAAAAACAGGCCAUUAAUUUUUAUGAGAAAAAGACUGAACCUUAGAGGAAGACUAGAUUAGCAUAUAACACAUGUGGCACAUUCUUGUUAAACAAAGAUUUUUAUUUGAGCAGUAACAUGUCCCUUUAAAUCUGAGAUUCACAUGUAAUAGUAAAAAAAGUGUGACAAGUCUACUGCUAAGAUAGAGAACCUAGUCACAUU